UAAAGAAAGCGUAACAGCUCACUGAUCAAGCGAUCCUGCGCGGAAAAUGUAACGGGGCUCAAGCCAUCUGCCGAAGCUGUGGAUGCACGAAAGUGCGUGGUAGCGGAGCGUUCCCUAAGCCUGCGAAGCGGGACCCGCGAGGGCCCGUGGAGGUAUGGGAAGUGCGAAUGCGGACAUGAGUAGCGACAAAGCGGGUGAGAAACCCGCUCGCCGAAAGUCCAAGGGUUCC
rnacentral:rRNA from 14 species